CGGGAUGUAGCUCAAGUGGUAACGUGCACGCUUUGCAUGUGAGAGGUGCAUGGUUUGAUCCCUGCAUCUCGA
rnacentral:tRNA from 1 species